AGAAUCAACGCUGGCGGCGUGCCUAACACAUGCAAGUCGCACGAGAAAGGGGAGCAAUCCCUGAGUACAGUGGCGCACGGGUGAGUAACACGUGAAUAAUCUACCUCCGAGUGGGGAAUAACUGAGAGAAAUCUUAGCUAAUACCGCAUAACACUUAAGAGUCAAAGCAGCAAUGCGCUUGGAGAGGAGUUCGCGGCCGAUUAGUUAGUUGGCGGGGUAAUGGCCCACCAAGACGAUGAUCGGUAUCCGGCCUGAGAGGGCGCACGGACACACUGGAACUGAAACACGGUCCAGACUCCUACGGGAGGCAGCAGUGGGGAAUUUUGCGCAAUGGGGAAACCCUGACGCAGCAACGCCGCGUGGAGGAUGAAGCCCCUUGGGGUGUAAACUCCUUUCGAUCGGGAAGAUAAUGACGGUACCGAUAUAAGAAGCCCGGCUAACUUCGCGCCAGCAGCCGC
rnacentral:rRNA from 1 species